AGCAGCAUGGCGCAGUGGUAGCGCGCGGGGCUCAUAACUCCGAGGUCACUCGAUCGAAACGAGUUGCUGCUA
rnacentral:tRNA from 2 species